rnacentral:rRNA from 1 species
AACGAACGCUGGCGGCGUGCUUAACACAUGCAAGUCGAGCGGUAAGGCCCUUUCGGGGGUACACGAGCGGCGAACGGGUGAGUAACACGUGGGUGACCUGCCCUCAGCUCUGGGAUAAGCCUGGGAAACCGGGUCUAAUACUGGACAUGACUCCAUGACGCAUGUUGUGGGGUGGAAAGCCUUGUGCGGCUGAGGAUGGGCCCGCGGCCUAUCAGCUUGUUGGUGGGGGAUGGCCUACCAAGGCGACGACGGGUAGCCGGCCUGAGAGGGCGACCGGCCACACUGGGACUGAGACACGGCCCAGACUCCUACGGGAGGCAGCAGUGGGGAAUCUUGCGCAAUGGGCGAAAGCCUGACGCAGCGACGCCGCGUGA